GACGAAGGAUGCAAGCGUUAUCCGGAUUCAUUGGGUUUAAAGGGAGCGUAGGUGGCCUUAUAAGUCAGUGGUGAAAUCCCGCAGCUUAACUGUGGAAUUGCCAUUGAUACUGUAGGGCUUGAGUACAGAUGCCGUUGGCGGAAUAUGACAUGUAGUGGUGAAAUACAUAGAGAUGUCAUAGAACACCGAUUGCGAAGGCAGCUGACGAAACUGUAACUGACACUGAGGCUCGAAAGUGCGGGGAUCAAACAGG
rnacentral:rRNA from 1 species